UACGGGGGGGGCAAGCGUUGUUCGGAAUUACUGGGCGUAAAGGGCUCGUAGGCGGCCAACUCAGUCGGACGUGAAAUCCCUCGGCUUAACCGGGGAAUGGCGUCCGAUACUGGAUGGCUUGAAUGUGGGAGAGGGAUGCGGAAUUCCAGGUGUAGCGGUGAAAUGCGUAGAUAUCUGGAGGAACACCGGUGGCGAAGGCGGCAUCCUGGACUACUACUGACGCUGAGGAGCGAAAGCCAGGGGAGCAAACGGG
rnacentral:rRNA from 1 species